rnacentral:lncRNA from 1 species
GGAAAAAGGAGGAACACAGUGAAGAACCAUAUUCAGCUUAAAUACCUCUACUUGAAAGAAAGAAGAAAUAAUAAUACAAAAAUUAAGCCUGUUAAAUGGUUUGAGAGUAAUUUUCCACAUACAUUUUACUGCUUUCUAAGCUGUUACCAGUCUUUUUCUCUCUCCAUUUUCAUUGUUUCCCACCCCCGCCCAAGACAACACUGUUGCUAUAAUUUAUCUUUACUCUUUCAUUUAACUUUCAGUAUCUCUUUACAUCCCUCCUAUUUUCUAUCCUUUUUUUUUUUCUCUUUAAAUGUGCAUCUGUCUGUAUUGUUUUCAAACUGCUUCAAGUAGAUUUAAUUAACCAAAGUGAGGUGUUGACAAUUUCUAAAGGCAUUCUGAUAAAAGAUUGUUUAAAGCUGCAAUACCUUGCUAAAGUUUGUUCAAAUGACCUCAUAACCUGAGUUUCUGUGCUAUUAGUAUAGUCAGUAUAAACAGGCUGCUGGAAGAAGAUCAUCCGUAUUUUCCACAGAGAACUGCACUUAUAGCUCCUGCAUGAAGGAAGAUGCAGAAAUAUCAGAGACCCAGGCAUCUUGGUCUGCAUUCAGGGGAAAGCUCUGGUGCUACACUGAAAAUUCAUAGACUACUUGUUGCAUGGCUGGCAAACUGGGAUACAUGGCCUCGAGCAGGGACUAAGCUCCCUGCAAGCUCCUGGCUGUUGAACGCACAGGAAAGACAUUUGGAAAUGUCUGUACUGACAGAAAAGCAACAGCUGAGGAGAGAUAAUGGAAGAACUCUCUAAGAUCUGUACC